GGCCUAUCGUUCGUUCCGAUAUAAAAGGAUUUUGUAUGAUCCUUAAAGUCAUCCAUAAAAUCGAUUGAUCAAGAAAACGUUGACGUAUAGGAGAAUCAACCUAACUAAUCGCGGGAACUAGAAGAAGACUCUUCGCAUUUGAAUGCGUCUUGAUAUUGCUUUCUUUAUUACUUGCAUACCAAACAUAACUCUCUCCAUACCCUAGGCUA